rnacentral:rRNA from 1 species
UACGGAGGGGGCGAGCGUUGUUCGGAAUUACUGGGCGUAAAGCGCGCGCAGGCGGUUUAUCAAGUCAGGAGUGAAAGGCCGGGGCUCAACCUCGGGACUGCUCUUGAAACUGGUAGACUUGAGUUGGGUAGAGGAUGACGGAAUUCCCCGUGUAGAGGUGAAAUUCGUAGAUAUGGGGAGGAACACCGGAGGCGAAAGCGGUCAUCUGGGCCCGUACUGACGCUGAGGCGCGAAAGCGUGGGGAGCAAACAGG